CUGGGUUGAAGAGAGGGCUCCAAGCCUGACCAAGAGACCCAUUGUGAUCACUGCCUUUGUCCAAAGCUGGUGCUGCUUUACUGUGAGCCUAGUAUUGAUUAGGUCAAGCUCUUACUGUUCAACAUGCUCAGCCUUCACCACGGAUUUUUUACUGGAUGCAAAUGGAAUAGUUGGAGUCAGAGAGCUGCCCUAUGUCUAUAAAGAUGCACAAAAUAACCCUAUGGAAGAAGGAAGCCCAAAGGCAGAGAAGUCUUCUGAAAUAACCUGAUUCAUAGGUAAAGCUAUAUGAUUCUAAAAGUUUGGAGACCACUAGUUUCCUGGCCUCCAAAUGAUGAAGUUCUCCAGAGCUUGAUAUUUUUCUCUUUUUGUGUUUGUACUCCCCCAGGUGAUCUCGCCUAGCCCUAGUGCUGAUGACUCCAAAAUUUAUACAUUCAGCCCAGAUGUCUGCAUUCUCAAUUCUGUUCCAAAUAUCUAGAUUCCCACUUGAUAUCUUCACCUGGAUGUCUAAAAGUACCUCAGACUUAACAUCCAAAUCAGAAUUCUUGAUUGCCACAACUCUCACACCUCCCAUAAAUGGCACCUUGUCCAGACCACACCAGUUAUUCAGCCAAAAAAUUUUACUGAAUAGCUGUAUGAUUUCAAAGCCUGAGAAUCCAACAAUGAACCAAAAUGAAGAGAGUGCUGUCAUGCAGCUUACAUUCUUGGGGAGGGGGAGGAGAAUACAACAAAAAAUUUAGAAGUAAGUAGAUAUCUUGUGUUUAUAUGUAUCCACAUUUAUCUAAGUUGAGUGCUAUUGAGAAAAAUAAGAGGAAUGGAUAGGAAGUGUGGGGUGGUGUGUUUUGUGCUAUCUCUCCUUUCCAGCUUUCAAAAUUUUGUCAUUAGUGUCUCCUCUUUUGUUGUGAUUGUCUUUGUGAGUCCAUGGGCUUAAAAUAAUUCAUUAAUUGUCACUUAGUGGAGUUUGAGGAGAGUGCUGAAGGAAACACAUAUGUUCAAUCUUCCAUCUUCAUCUAGAAGCUGAAGGGUAUUAAGGGAAUGUCUUUAUGAGAAGAUGAUAUUCAAGCAGAAACCCGAAAGAAGCAAGGAGGUAAGCCAUGUAGAUAUCUAAAAGAAAAGCGGUCCAGAUGGAGGGAGGUGCAAGUGAGAAAGGUCCUAAAGUAGGAGUGUACUUAAUGUGUUCAAGGAACAGCAAGGAGUCGUGUUGCUGAAGUGGAGUUGAGAAGUGGGAUAGAAAGGGAAGAUGGUCAGGAAACGAGAGUGGAGAGGUGGCAAGGGACCAAUCAUUUAUUGGAAGCCAUGGUAAGGAUUUUGAUUUUUAGUCACAAUGAAAUGGAAAGGCCUUGGAAGAGUUUAAUUAGACAUUAUUAAAAUUAUGUUUUAAAUAAGUCACUCUAGCUUCUGCAUAAUAUCUUGUAGGCAGAUGAAGGCAGAAGCAGAAACACCAGUUAGGAGUGUGUAGGCAAGAGAUGAUGAUGACCUGAGCUAGAGUGGUAGCAAUAGAGGUGGUGAGAAGUAGUAGAAGUCUAGAUAUGAUUUGAAGUUAGAGCCAACAGAAUUUUACUGAUGGAUUAUACAACAGAAGUAUCAGGUAUAUUUCAAGUUUUUGAUUUAAACAAAGAGUCAUGAUGUUACUGAAAUGAUGAUGGUUGUAGGUGGAACAGAUAUGGGAGGCGUGCAGGGAGAUAGCAGCUCAGUUAGAUAUUAAUUUGAAAUAAAUGUUCAACAACUAAAUGGUGAUGUCAAGUGAUUCCUGAAUAUUUGAGUCUGGGGUUUCAGGGAGUAGUCAGGUGAAAAAUAUUAAUUGGGGUUUAUCAGUGUACAAAAAGUAUUGAAAGCCGCCUGACUUGAUGAACAAGGGAGAAUAUAUAGAAAGAAGAGUUCCAAUGAAUGAAAUCUGGGAGGUUCCAACAUUUACUGAUUGGGAAGAUGAUGAAGAACCUGCUGAGAAGUCUGAAGAAAGAGUAACCAGUGAAAAAGAACCAAGAGAGCAUGGAGCCUGGAGGAAAAGUAGAAGUGUCUCAAGAAGGGAGUGGUUGACUCUUAAAUGCGGCUGAGAAGGUAAGAAAGAUAAAGUCUGAGAAACAUCAUUACAUUAACAACAUGAAUGUCACUGAUGACUUUGACAAGGUUAUCUUAGUGGAAUGGAGGGAGUGAAAGCUUAUUUAGGGUGCUGCAGAUGCUGACUGACGACUCAGGAAAUACAGGAAUUAUCUGUUGGAGCAGUUCACAAUUAGGCAAGAAAGAUAGGGUGCAGAGUUUAGAUAGAGA